GACAGAGGGUGCAAACGUUGUUCGGAAUUACUGGGCAUAAAGAGCACGUAGGUGGUUCGCUAAGUCACGUGUGAAAUCCCCCGGCUCAACCGGGGAAUUGCGCGUGAUACUGGCGAACUCGAGGCGGGUAGGGGUGAGCGGAACUCCAGGUGGAGCGGUGAAAUGCGUAGAUAUCUGGAGGAACACCGGUGGCGAAAGCGGCUCACUGGACCCGAUCUGACACUGAGGUGCGAAAGCUAGGGUAGCAAACGGG
rnacentral:rRNA from 1 species